UGUAGCCGGUCCCAAGGGUAUGGCUGUUCGCCAUUUAAAGAGGUACGUGAGCUGGGUUUAAAACGUCGUGAGACAGUUUGGUCCCUAUCUGCCGUGGGCGUUGGAAUCUUGACGGGGGCUGCUCCUAGUACGAGAGGACCGGAGUGGACGUACCGCUGGUGUACCUGUUGUCUCGCCAGAGGCAUCGCAGGGUAGCUAUGUACGGAAGAGAUAACCGCUGAAAGCAUCUAAGCGGGAAACUCGCCUGAAGAUGAGGAUUCCCUGGAGCCUUGACCUCCUUGAAGGGUCGUUCGAGACCAGGACGUUGAUAGGCUGGGUGUGGAAGCGCAGUAAUGCGUUAAGCUAACCAGUACUAAUUGCCCGUAAGGCUUGAUCCU
rnacentral:rRNA from 1 species